CCUACGGGUGGCAGCAGUGGGGGAUAUUGCACAAUGGGGGGAACCCUGAUGCAGCGACGCCGCGUGGGCGAAGAAGCGCCUCGGCGCGUAAAGCCCUGUCAGCAGGGAAGAAAAUGACGGUACCUGAAGAAGAAGUCCCGGCUAACUACGUGCCAGCAGCCGCGGUAAUACGUAGGGGGCAAGCGUUAUCCGGAUAUACUGGGAGUAAAGGGGUCGGAGGCGGCGAUGCAAGCCAGGAGUGAAAGCCCGGGGCCCAACCCCUGGACGGCUCUUGGUACUGGGUAGCUGGAGUGCAGGAGGGGCAAGCGGAAUUCCUGGUGUAGCGGUGAAAUGCGUAGAUAUCAGGAGGAACACCGGUGGCGAAGGCGGCCUGCUGGACUGCAACUGACGUUGAGGCCCGAAAGCGUGGGGAGCAAACAGGAUUAGAUACCCGUGUAGUC
rnacentral:rRNA from 1 species